GGGCCCGUGGUCUAGUUGGUUAUGACGUCGCCUUCACACGGCGGAGGUCCUGAGUUCGAAUCUCAGCGAGCCCA
rfam:Candidatus Methanosphaerula palustris E1-9c, complete genome.